CGGGGGGUGCAAGCGUUACUCGGAAUCACUGGGCGUAAAGGACGCGUAGGCGGAUUAUCAAGUCUUUUGUGAAAUCUAGUGGCUUAACCACUAAACUGCUUAGGAAACUGAUAGUCUAGAGUAGGGGAGAGGUAGAUGGAAUUCUUGGUGUAGGGGUAAAAUCCGUAGAGAUCAAGAAGAAUACCCAUUGCGAAAAGCGAUCUGCUGGAACCUAACUGACGCUGAGGCGUGAAAAGCGUGGGUAGCAAACAGGAUU
rnacentral:rRNA from 1 species